rnacentral:tRNA from 1 species
UAGAUAGAAGUUCACUGGAUAGAACACUUAGCUGUUAACUAAGACUUAUUGUAGGAUCGAGGCCUAUCUAUCUAG